GCAGAUGGAUGGGACCAUUGCUAACAACCCUUCAACAGAAAAUGCAACUUGUACAUCAUUCUGCAGACUGGGAGGCUGGAGAAAUGAGACAAAGGCACAAUUCCCUGUGAAUUCGGAGAGAAAUAUUCCAGAUUUGAUUUUAAAAAGCAAGGCUUCUCAGCUGCCUGCUCCAUACCUGGCACGGGAGUCCAUCUGAGCGAACAAGGAAUGAGGAAAAUUGACAGCUGCCUGCCUUGGCCCUGGACAUCCCUAUUUCUGCCAGGAGUAUUUCUGGGUAAGAACUGAAGCAUCUCUGCUUGUUGGGAGGAAAUGCUGUUACACAAUGCAGGACAAACCAGCCGAGCCACUUUAAACAGCAUGAAUGAACGAAGGCUUCAAGUGUUGAGUCUGCUUUGAAGGAUCCAGAGGGCAGCCAUGGAGCCUUGCAUGCCAGGAAGCUGCACAAGGAGGUUGGAUAUGGAGCAGAGGAAGCUCAUCCAUGCACGUGCUGUGACAAGUGAAGUGCUCUCUGAUUGCUUUAAACCAAUUUAUCAAGACACUCACAACCCCUUUCUGGCUUUCUGCAAG